UCCGGUCCGCCGAUCGAUUC
rnacentral:snRNA from 1 species